rnacentral:rRNA from 1 species
UAGCAAGGGCCGGGCAAGACCGGUGCCAGCCGCCGCGGUAACACCGGCGGCCCGAGUGGUGAUCGUGAUUAUUGGGUCUAAAGGGUCCGUAGCCGGUUUGGUCAGUCCUCCGGGAAAUCUGACGGCUUAACCGUUAGGCUUUCGGGGGAUACUGCCAGACUUGGAACCGGGAGAGGUAAGAGGUACUACAGGGGUAGGAGUGAAAUCUUGUAAUCCCUGUGGGACCACCUGUGGCGAAGGCGUCUUACCAGAACGGGUUCGACGGUGAGGGACGAAAGCUGGGGGCACGAACCGGAUUAGAUACCCGGGUAGUCCCAGCCGUAAACGAUGCUCGCUAGGUGUCAGGCAUGGCGCGACCGUGUCUGGUGCCGCAGGGAAGCCGUGAAGCGAGCCACCUGGGAAGUACGGCCGCAAGGCUGAAACUUAA